rnacentral:rRNA from 1 species
GACGAACGCUGGCGGCGUGCUUAACACAUGCAAGUCGAACGGAAAGGCCCUGCUUUUGUGGGGUGCUCGAGUGGCGAACGGGUGAGUAACACGUGAGUAACCUGCCCUUGACUUUGGGAUAACUUCAGGAAACUGGGGCUAAUACCGGAUAGGAGCUCCUGCUGCAUGGUGGGGGUUGGAAAGUUUCGGCGGUUGGGGAUGGACUCGCGGCUUAUCAGCUUGUUGGUGGGGUAGUGGCUUACCAAGGCUUUGACGGGUAGCCGGCCUGAGAGGGUGACCGGCCACAUUGGGACUGAGAUAUGGCCCAGACUCCUACGGGAGGCAGCAGUGGGGAAUAUUGCACUAUGGGCGGAAGCCUGAUGCAGCAACGCCGCGUGCGGGAUGACGGCCUUCGGGUUGUAAACCGCUUUCGCCUGUGACGAAGCGUGAGUGACGGUAAUGGGUAAAGAAGCACCGGCUAACUACGUG